UCCGGUUUGUCACCGGCAGUCCCAUUAGAGUGCCCGGCCGAACCGCUGGCAACUAAUGGCGAGGGUUGCGCUCGUUGCGGGACUUAACCCAACAUCUCACGACACGAGCUGACGACAGCCAUGCAGCACCUGUGCCUCCUCUCGAUUCGACGAGUCGUCCCCCUUUCAGGGUUCUACUUGAGGCAUGUCAAACCCAGGUAAGGUUCUUCGCGUUGCCUCGAAUUAAACCACACGCUCCGCUGCUUGUGCGGGCCCCCGCCUAUUCCUUUGAGUUUUAACCUUGCGGCCGUAGUCCCCAGGCGGUGAACUUAAUGCGUUAGCUGCGGCACUGAUCGGGUCAAUCCGACCAACACCUAGUUCACAACGUUUAGGGCGUGGACUAC
rnacentral:misc_RNA from 1 species